rnacentral:rRNA from 1 species
UACAGAGGGGGGCAAGCGUUGUUCGGAAUUACUGGGCGUAAAGGGCGCGUAGGCGGCCUGUUAAGUCGGACGUGAAAUCCCUCGGCUUAACCGGGGAACUGCGUCUGAUACUGGAUGGCUUGGAUUCGGGAGAGGAAUGCGGAAUUCCAGGUGUAGCGGUGAAAUGCGUAGAUAUCUGGAGGAACACCGGUGGCGAAGGCGGCAUUCUGGACCGACAUUGACGCUGAGGAGCGAAAGCCAGGGGAGCAAACGGG